CAUACCCCAGCCCCACACCCCAUUGUUAUCUUCUACAAAACUUAGGUGGUCGGAGAUUGUAGGUGUACCGAUCAAUGGGAAGUUUGUUAAGGCCAUCAGAAGAAGGUUAAGAAGAAUAAAGAAUAAAGAUGUACCAUUGCACUGUGACUGAAUAUACCGUGUGGAUUGUUCACUGGGGAAGUUUGCUGUCAUCUUCUCCGACGAACUUUUCAUUUCCGGUGGAUGAUUAGAAGCUUUAUUGUACAUCGAAUUCAAUGAAAUCAAGAAGAUGAUUAGGUGAUUAGCAGCUAUAUUGAAUGAAAGAAUUGAAUUCUCUUUAAAAGUUUUCAUUCUCCAAUCCAUUGACUGCAAGAUGUUUAUCUCAUGACCCCAGUGAUCGACCACCGUGAAUUUAGGUGGCAAAAUGGGUAGCGUAAAGUGACAACGUCGCGAAGGCGUCAUGGACUUGAUCAAGAUGUAAGUCUUGACCGGAAUUAGGAGCCUCGAGAGCUUGAUUUGUGCUCAAAUAAGCUCAUCUAAAGUACUCCUCAAGAUCUUUGUGUUUCUAAUAAGCUGAGAAUCUUAAUUCUAUAGAAGAUUUUCUUAUUUGGAUCGAUUCUGGAUUAUGUAGUUCGUCGAAAACUGAGUCAGUGUAUGGUGUACGUUUGAUUCAGAAAUGGAUGGAGAACAAAGCACGUUCUAGCUCUUGCGAUUCUUGAUGUUGUCGUCAGAAACGGAGUCGGUGUAUGGUGUGGGUCGGUGGAUGUAAUGUUUCGUACCUUUGUACUUUCCAAUUUUAGGAACUUUUAAUCAUAUUCCAUUUCAAUCAUUGUAAUCCGAGACUUUGAUCAUAAUGGAAAUUCAUAUUAUAUAACUAUCAUAUUAAAUUCAUAUUUAUUUGUUAUGUAAUCAA